rnacentral:misc_RNA from 1 species
UACGGGGUUUUCACUCCCGACCCUAUGUGAACUUACCACUUGUUGCUUCGGCGCGCGCUUCGGCGCACCCAAGGACACUUAGCUCUUUGUUUUUAUAAGCAUUUCUGAGUGGCCGAAAGGCAAAAUACAAAUGAAUCAAAACUUUCAGCAACGGAUCUCUUGGUUCUGGCAUCGAUGAAGAACGCAGAACUUUGCACUAAGUGAUGUGAAUUGCAGAAUUCAGUGAAUCAUCGAAUCUUUGAACGCACAUUGCGCCCGCCAGCAUUCUGGCGGGAAUGCCUGUUCGAGCGUCAUUUCAACCCUCGAGCCCGACUCUUCGUAGGACGGCUCGGCGUUGGGGGACGGCAGACUCCCCCCGGCAUCUCGCCGGGGACGCCGCCCCCGAAAUUUAGUGGCGGCCCUCCGAGGUGACCUCUGCGAAGAAACUUGUUCUCGCACCGGAAAGCUCAGAGCGGCCACCCCGUAAAACCCCAACUUUUUUUAGGUUGACCUCGAAUCAGGAAGGACUACUCGCUGAACUUAAGCGUAUCAAUAGGCGGAGGAAAAAUUUAGGGGCGGCCCUCCGAGGCGACCUCUGCGUAGUAACUUGUUCUCGCACCGGAAAGCUCAGAGCGGCCACGCCGUAAAACCCCAACUUUUUUUUAGG